rnacentral:lncRNA from 1 species
AGGUCUAUUUCUUAAAAUAAUAGGAAAUAUAUGUAUAAGGGCCUCUCUGAGUUCUGAAGCUUUCCAAUAAUUUAUGUAUUUAAGAUUUCUUGGUGCUUGAGUUCCGUAAUUUAGAGAGGCAAAAACUCCAAGCAAAACAGAGUGCAGAUAAUCAGGAACAAAAGAACGAGCUGUAUCAAACGCAGGAAUCAAUGCAGUCACGGAUGGACCUUUUACACCUUUUACGUGUUUAACAUUAAGAUUUAUAGCUGCCAGUGCUUGCGACAGCAUUCAUUCUUUCGUUUUUGGUAUAACAUACUGUGUAAACUAGUAUACUCUGUUAAACCAUUUUCCAGUUGCGCAGGUUUCACCCUUAUGCUCGUAAAAUGAGCAACUGCAUUCGCCGUUAUAUUUCAUAAUAUUUUGAGUUGGUGCCCUCGCACACGCGUCUAACGUAGCUAUCGGCGUUAAUACGCGGCUACGUCUAACCUCAUUAUUGCGUUGAUUGAACCAUUCUACAGUAUUUUCAUACAAAUUUUUUAGUGUAUUAACAAAGAACCAUAAAAAUGAACUCAUGUUCGGUUGCUUUUCUGAACUAUAAAAACGCCGGUUACGAAUUGAAAAUUUCUUCGAUUUUCUGGCGGAAUAUUGAUAAUUUGCGAUUUUAAUUGAUUGAUUUUUUCUAUUCUACAAUUAGCCGAUGAAUCAGCGUUAGUUAGAAAAAUGGAUGACGUUCUAAAUGUGAAGAAAGCAACAAGUCAAGAAAAGGCAGACACACGAUAGAGAACGAAUCAGAUUCGAAAGAAAAGAGUGAUAAGGAACCAGCAAUAAAACAGAUAAAGAAGCAAGUAGAUUCCUUGGUGGAAAAAAAUUUAUUUAAACAACUAGGUGUAAACAUUGACCUGCAGAUAAGCUGUAAACUAAAGGUUUCAAAUGUAGAUUUGCAAGAUAAUAAUUUGCCGAGUACAAGUAAAUCCAGUACGCAAACUACUUGCUCAGAAAAUGCAAACAGAUUUGCCUUAAGAACUACUGAAAUAGACGUCCAAUCAAAAAAUGUGUAAGAUGAUAACGAAUUGAACUGGAUAUGCAUAAAAAUCGCUAGCUUAUGAUCUGAUGUAGAAUCAUGUUUCGCUGCGCUUACAAUCGUUGCAGAUGGUUUGGAUUCUUUGACGCUUGCUCUGGAGGAUCACAGAGGUUAAACAAAAAUGCUAAUGGAAGCAGUUGAUAAUCCUACGUGUACUGGAAAAAGACGGUCUCAUAACAUGCCUCUAAUUGAGUCUCUACCAGAGUCUAUAUCACUAGAAGAUAACUUACGUACAUAUCACAGUAUUGAGCCGAUGGAACAAGACAAGAUCAUUAGCGAUACAAAACGAGACUGCAGGUAUAAAAUAUUCGAGUGAGAAUAAAUAUUCUUCAGAGUCAUUGACGGAAGUUCAGAAUUUUGAAGAAGCGAGAAAUGUAAAAGUUGACCCUGUUGAAAAUGAAUUGUCAGAUAACAGCGGGAAAUCUGUCGAAGCAGUAGAGUAAAAUAUAAAGAAGGUGGAAAAUUAUGUAGUUUCGACGUUACAAUAUACAAAAGCUGACGAAUCAAAUGGAGCAAGUAAUUGAACUCGCUGAGGGUUUAAACAUUUUUGUAAAAAGUUAUAGCUUAAAAAAUACCCGAGAUACCUGCGACAAGUUAACGUAUUUAGCCCGAGCUCUAAUAAAAAUCAUUUUUACAAAAGAGACACUCAGUUCAUGCUCUCUUCUUGGAAAAGGGUCAAAUAACUCAAGGAGUUCAGAGAGUAGACAGGGACUCCACGAAUGCCAAGUAAAAGCAAUUCUAGCAUAUGUUUGAGCUCAUGGAAAGUCCCUCAGUUGGAAGCAAAUAGAUGGCCAGAUUAUAAAAAGAAGUAUGACGCAACUAUUAAUUGAAGGAAGGGAUAAAAAUAGAUUUAAAGAAGAAAAAAAAUUGAAAUCAGCUCACAAAGAAGAACGUUAAUUCUUUUAAAUGAAUUAUUGUUUAACUAUUCAUAACUGUUACUAUUUAUUAAUAUUAAUAUAUCAUAAAUAAUAGAAUUGUUUUAAAAAUAUAUGUAAUUAAUUACUUGUCAAGUUUUUACAAAGAUUAUACACAAUUUAUGCAGAAUCAUUUCUUUACAAAAACUUUACAUAAUUAUGUAAUGAUUUUUAUUUGUACAUUGUACAAAAUGUAUAUCAAAUAGUUUCACUCGCGUGUGUGUGUGUGUGCGCGCGCGCGCGCGUGUGUGUAAAACUAAACUAGAAUCAAAAACAGUAGGUUACAAAAACUAUUAGACAACGGUUGGUAACAAUUAAAAGUAAUUUUAGGUUAUCAAUUUUAAUACGAUAUCGCCUUUAAUGUUUACGUGAUAACAACUUCAGGAGUACUAGUAAGCUUUUGAUAUCGUUACUUCUUCCCAAAAAUAAUGCUGAGGUCACUAGGAACUGUAGAAAAAAUGUCUAGGUGUUUGGAAUAGAAACAAAAUUAGUCUUUAUAGUAGUAUGCUAAGUAAUUUUUAAUGCGUAGACAUAAAAUUUGAUGAUAAAUCAUGGAUAGUUUUCACAGGACUCUCGUACACGAUUUUUAGGUAAUCUGCAUACAAAGAAUGCAGUGCGCUUCGUAGUGUACAAAACCUCACCCCGAACAUUAGUAUACCAUGCCUAGGCGUUGAAAAAUCUCAGUAGACUUUUCAUAUUAUAUUUGUAAAAAAUACGUUUUAAA